AAGAAAAUGCAGCUCCGUUCAUGGAUGAAACGCUGAAAUAAAAUACUGUAAUAUUUGUGAUAUUUCUUCUAUGUUAAAGGAUUAAGGAAACUGCUUACCGCGCGUACGCACGCAACGGUAAGCAGUUGUACAGGGUACAAACAUGUACGCCACACCGCAACACUGCGUAAUUUGUUUCCAUGUGCAUCACUAACAAAAAAGUACUCGGAAGUGAUACCCUGAAGCGACGCCCAUCUAGACCAGCCUCUAAAACGAUUGGUCGCCACAAAAUCAAACAAAACAGCCAUUGGUUAAAAAAGUGUCACUCGCUGCAGCAAAGAAAGAAACCCCGCCUCUAAAUGUUUAACUUCCGUUUGUGUUGCGCUCGACUCUGGUCGUCGUAAUAACAAAACCUGAAAGUUGACAGUGAGUCAGGAAAAACUAAAUUAUUACAGAAGAAAUAAUAUUGUUUUAAACCUAUUUGUGAUUUAAAAUAUUAAAUCAUACAGUUGUCGUGGACGAUCGAUCCAGACAUUACUAACAGAGGGAACAUUCAGCCUGAGCAUGGUGUCAUGUUAACUUAGUGACAAGCAGAUCGGAAGUUUGUCUCGCGGUGCUAAGAUAACACAAUUUUUGUAGCAGAAAAUCCAAUUUCUGUCGUAGUUAAACAUUAAACUUGUAUUUCCAGUGAUUCUGGGUCCAAGGUCCAGACCAGAGUUAAGAAAAACUGUUGUCAGUAAAGUGGUGAGUCAAUUAUGUCUGAGUGUGCUGAUGACAAGAGCCGCAUUAAAACGUUGAAUUUCAACGUUGGAGUCUUGGGACAUGUGGACAGCGGGAAGACAUCACUGGCCAGGGCGCUGAGCAGCACCGCCUCCACGGCAGCAUUCGACAAGAACCCGCAGUCCCGUGAGAGAGGCAUCACGCUGGACCUGGGCUUCUCCUCCUUCACGGUGGAUCUUCCAGAUCACCUGCGGGAUAGUGGCGGACAGCAGCCGUAUGACAGCCUGCAGUUCACCCUGGUUGACUGUCCAGGACAUGCCUCUCUGAUCCGCACUAUCAUUGGGGGUGCCCAGAUUAUUGACCUGAUGAUGCUGGUGGUGGACGUGGUGAAGGGCGUCCAGACUCAGACCGCCGAGUGUCUGCUGAUUGGAGAGCUGACCUGCCCUCGCAUGGUGGUCGUUCUGAACAAAAUCGACCUCCUGCCGCCCAACAAGAGGCAGGCGGCCAUCGAGAAGAUGACCAAGAGGAUGCACAAAACACUGGAGAGCACGAGAUUUAAGGAAUGUCCAGUAAUUGCUGUGGCAGCCAAGCCUGGAGGUCCAGAGGCCCUGGACUCAGAGGAGCCACAGGGGGUGCCAGAGUUAAUACAGCUUUUGAAGAAACAGACGUACCUCCCUCAGAGAGACCCUGCAGGUGACCUCCUGAUGGCGGUGGACCACUGCUUCUCCAUCCGUGGACAGGGGACAGUGAUGACUGGCACCAUCCUGCAAGGCUCCCUGGCUGUUAACGACACCGUGGAGAUCCCAGCUCUGAAGGUGACCAAGAAGAUAAAGUCGGUGCAAAUGUUCAGAAAGCCAGUGUCAGGGGCCAUGCAGGGAGAUCGUGUGGGAGUGUGUGUGACACAGUUUGACCCUAAGCUGUUGGAGAGGGGCGUUGUCUGCACCCCGGGCUCCCUGCGGACCCUCUACGCUGCCGUCAUCUCCGUUAGAAAGAUCGGCUACUUCAAGGGCUCGCUUUCCACCCGUGCCAAGUUCCACAUCACGGUGGGUCACGAGACCGUCAUGGCCAAGGUCAGCUUCUUUGGCCUUCCGCCCGCGGUAGCGUCUGAGGUCACCUCUGACACCGAACCAACUCCAACACCACCCUCCUCGCUGCAAACACCCUUCACCCAGGACAGGGAGUAUUUCUACCAGGACGAGUAUGUCAGAGGUCAAGGAGAGGCCGGUUCAGGACCCGACCCAGAGCAGUGGGCCUUGUUGGAGUUUGAGCGGCCCGUCACCUGCCCCCUAUUCUGCCUCGUGAUUGGCUCCAAGCUGGACGCAGACAUCCACGCCAACGCAUGCAGGUUAGCCUUCCAAGGCCGUCUGCUACAGGGCUUCGAGGAUAAAAACUACACCGAGACUGCUCUGCCCAAUCUCCGCAUCUACAAGACCAAACACAGAGAGGGACAGGUGGAGAGAGUCAGUGACGACUACACCGUGAUUGGUCGAAACCUGUUCAAGAAGGAGACCAACCUCCAGCUCUUUGUGGGGUUAAAGGUCACGCUGUCGACAGGUGAGAGAGGCGUCAUCGAGGGCGGCUUCGGACAGAGCGGGAAAUUCAAGGUCCGGAUUCAAGGACAAAAGCUACAUUUCCCUGACUGUGUCCCAUUGGCACAGAGAAGAAAGAGUCAUAAUGACAGUGAAGUGAAGGCAUUGUGCUUUCACUAUGAGAGCAGCCUGAGUGACAGUGACGUCUUUGACCUCCAGCCAGCAGGGGGAGAGCAGGAUGACAGAUUUGCACCUAAAGUCAAGGAUGUUUGGCAACUCAAGUCUUUUGUUUUCAUCAGUCAUUUAGGUUUCAGGUGCUGAAUCAAAAGUAGACACAUGCUGCUGUCUCUCAGUGGUCCGUGUGGUCAGAGAGGGGCAGCCCCCUAACGGCCCGCUGCACUCACACACCUUUGAAAACCUCACCCACCCCUGCUUCCUCCCUCUGGGCCUGACUUCCAUCCUCACCCGUGGUACUCACUGCUCUCAGGCUUAUCACCGACAGUAAGGUGCCAGUUAUACUUCUCGGUCACUGAGGGGUCAGUGAGGGGUCAGAGGUGACGACUGUGCCACUGCACCGACACAUCAACCCAGUCACACGCUGUGAGUCCUGCUGAUGUUUUCCAUCAGUCUUGCGGCUCACAGACGUACGUACUGACGCAGGUGGCAGACGGAACAGCGCUCCUCUGAGGGACGUGCCGGAUAACUGCUACCCAGGCUGGGCUUCCGGCCCUGGGCCAGCAGCGCUUACCGGUAGCCCUCACACCCUGCAGCACCCACCACUAUCACCCAGCUCCAGACACUGAGCCAGGAUACUGUGGUGACACAACACCAAGCCCCUGUUCCUCCUUUGUCAACAAGACUGAUGGAAGCAGAGAGGAGGAGAGGUGAGGAGCAGAGGAGGACAGGACAGGAGGACACACUGAUAAUAGAAGGGUUUACCACCGCUGGUGAGCACAGCCCCGAGGAGGUAACGUCAGGAUCUGGGUGUGAAUGUGAGAAAAAUGAGCAGUUUGAAAAUAAACAUGGAGUAACUGAGAAUUUAUCUGUGAUGAUAUAUAUAUCUGUAUAUUAAUAAUAACAUAAAAGGAGAAUCUUUAUUAGUCAUCACAUUAAAAAUAAAGUCAAUGAGUUCAUUUGUUUUAUUAGAGACAGGAACGUAGUCUGGAUAUAUUUUAAAUAUUCUAAUUUUAUUUUGUGUUCUGUCCUAAACUGUAAUACAGUAUUAUUGUUAGUCAGGCUGAUAAAAUAAGACGCCACCAGGGGGCAUAACAGGAUGUACACCAUUGGUAACGUUUCCCAAGCAUCCAAAUACACGCUGCACACAGUG